ACUUGGCUGGCUUAGUUGGUAGAGCAUGUGACUCUUGAUCAUGGGGUUGUGAGUUCGAGCCCCAUGUUGAGUA
rfam:Canis lupus familiaris chromosome 2, whole genome shotgun sequence.